AGUGAACGCUGGCGGUAGGCCUAACACAUGCAAGUCGAACGGCAGCACAGUAAGAGUUUGCUCUUACGGGUGGCGAGUGGCGGACGGGUGAGGAAUACAUCGGAAUCUACUUUUUCGUGGGGGAUAACGUAGGGAAACUUACGCUAAUACCGCAUACGAUCUACGGGUGAAAGCAGGGGAUCUUCGGACCUUGCGCGAUUGAAUGAGCCGAUGUCGGAUUAGCUAGUUGGCGGGGUAAAGGCCCACCAAGGCGACGAUCCGUAGCUGGUCUGAGAGGAUGAUCAGCCACACUGGAACUGAGACACGGUCCAGACUCCUACGGGAGGCAGCAGUGGGGAAUAUUGGACAAUGGGCGCAAGCCUGAUCCAGCCAUACCGCGUGGGUGAAGAAGGCCUUCGGGUUGUAAAGCCCUUUUGUUGGGAAAGAAAAGCAGCAGGUUAAUACCCCGCUGUUCUGACGGUACCCAAAGAAUAAGCACCGGCUAACUUCGUG
rnacentral:rRNA from 1 species